rnacentral:lncRNA from 1 species
AAGUAAUCUGUCUUCUGGUAAGACGUCACAAAGAAGAAAAUAAUUGUCCUGUUCUUCUAAGGGAGCUUCUGAGUUUGUUCUUAUCACACUACAAAAGUCUGUGACAGGCUGUUCUGCAAACCUCUUCUUCCAAUAUAAGACGUAUCUUUUAAAAUCCGCAACUAGUUUCACAUCUGCAAUGACGAGCUUGUGUUCAAUUAUCAUGUGCUUCAGGAGCUGGUUUUGUUCUGCUAAGACAUAGCAUUCUUCACAGAAAAUGCAAGGCACAGAGGGAGAACUCUCUACAGUAGCAACACCAUCGGGACUUGCUGGACUUUCUGGCAGAGACAGAGGCUCCAAAAU